rnacentral:rRNA from 1 species
CAAGACCGGUGCCAGCCGCCGCGGUAACACCGGCAGCUCGAGUGGUAGCCGCGUUUAUUGGGCCUAAAGCGUCCGUAGCCGGUCCGAUAAGUCUCUGGUGAAAGCCCACAGCUCAACUGUGGGAAUCGCUGGAGAUACUAUCGGACCUGAGGCCGGGAGAGGCUGAGGGUACCCCCAGGGUAGGGGUGAAAUCCUAUAAUUUCUGAAGGAGACCACCUGUGGCGAAGGCGUCCAGCUGGAACGGACCUGACGGUGAGGGACGAA